GACGAACGCUGGCGGCGUGCUUAACACAUGCAAGUCGAACGGGUCUGCCCUGUUUUUUGCGGGGUGGGUCAGUGGCGAACGGGUGAGUAACACGUGAGUAACCUGCCCCUCACUUCUGGAUAACCGCUUGAAAGGGUGGCUAAUACGGGGUGUUCUGGCUGUGCCGCAUGGUGUGGCUGGGAAAGAUUCACUUUUGUGGGGUUUUGGUGGGGGAUGGGCUCGCGGCCUAUCAGCUUGUUGGUGGGGUGAUGGCCUGCCAAGGCUUUGACGGGUAGCCGGCCUGAGAGGGUGGGCGGUCACACUGGGACUGAGAUACGGCCCAGACUCCUGCGGGAGGCAGCAGUGGGGGGUAUUGCACAAUGGGCGGAAGCCUGAUGCAGCGACGUCGCGUGAGGGAUGGAGGCCUUCGGGUUGUGAACCUCUUUCGCCGGUGAAGAAGGUCCUGCUCUUUGUGGUGGGGUUGACGGUAGCCGGGUUAUGAAGCGCCGGCUAACUACGUG
rnacentral:rRNA from 1 species